CGAAUUGCGAUAUGUAAUGUGAAUUGCAGAAUUCAGUGAAUCAUUGAAUCUUUGAACGCACAUUGCA
rnacentral:rRNA from 1 species